rnacentral:rRNA from 1 species
GACGAACGCUGGCGGCGUGCUUAACACAUGCAAGUCGAACGGUAAGGCGCUUUCGGGCGUACACGAGUGGCGAACGGGUGAGUAACACGUGAGGAACGUGCCCUUGACUUUGGUAUAGCACUUGGAAACAGGUGGUAAUCCCGAAUAUUCAGUUUCCCGGGCAUCCGGGUUGUUGGAAAGCUUUUUGCGGUCAGGGAUCGUCUCGCGGCCUAUCAGCUUGUUGGUGGGGUAGUGGCCCACCAAGGCCUUGACGGGUAGCCGGCCUGAGAGGGCGACCGGCCACAUUGGGACUGAGAUACGGCCCAGACUCCUACGGGAGGCAGCAGUGGGGAAUAUUGCACAAUGGGCGGAAGCCUGAUGCAGCAACGCCGCGUGCGGGAUGACGGCCUUCGGGGUUGUAAAACCC